ACUUUUAUUAAAGAAACAUUUGCAAAACACAAGGAUCAACUGGACAUAAACGACCAAAGAAAUCUCAUUGAUGCAUAUCUUGUCAAGCAACAAGAGGUAACCACAGAAAUUUUUUUGUCAAUCAAUAUGUUAUUUAGGCAUAAGAUAUAAACACAAAGCAUCACAGUGGUGACAACACCACUUCCGAACAAUCAUAAAACAGCUGCUAGAACAGUACAAUUCACAUAUAAAAAAUAUAGAGGUCCUCUACUCCUCUUUCCCUUCGUUGACCCAUAAUAACAUGUCUACAUCACCCUUACUUAUUACCAGGGAGUUCUCCUGAAUCACACUAUGUUCCACAAACUACACCCUUUCUCUGUUAAAAAAAAAAAUAAUAAUUGUGAAAUGAAUAUAUCACACACAUUCAUUGUGGAUAUAUGGCAUUCAUUUUCUGCUCAUUAAAAAGGCUUGUAAUUAAAUACAUUAAAUGAACCAAAACAGUUCUGAGUACCUUGGCUAAUAGUUUUUGAUUUCUUCAGGACAUUGAUUUUUUUGCUAGUCUGCUGCAAUUCUCAUUGCAAUUCAAUGUAAUUUUCAACUGAAGCAACUGUAAACAUAUUGAAAAGUCAUAUUUAGAAACAAUCUGCAAUCAAACAGCAUUUAGACUAUAGCCAGUUUGCUAUUGUUCUUAUUUUGUUUUAAUACAAAUCGGUUUUAUUUGAUGACUCUCUCUGCAGUUUUGUAAAUCAACCAAAUUUGCUUGUAUUAACAGCCUUAUGCAUUAUCAGUGUGCGUAACUGCAUAGUUCUUUUUUUUUUUUUACCAGAUUGUUUUUCCUUUUUAUUUUACGAUUCAGGAAAAACCCAAAGGAUUAUUUUUCCAUGAUGAUAAUUUAACAGCUCUUGUGAGCAAUUUAUUUGCAGCAGGAACGGAAACGACAUCCACGACCCUUCGAUGGGGCAUUCUGCUAAUGAUGAAAUAUCCAGAGAUCCAAAGUAAGGCAUCAUGUGUAGGAGACAUGAUCGGUUUUGUAACAUAUCAAAUUGGCCACACUACACUUCAAAAUAAUGUAACUGAUUAACUCAGCAUGUUUGUGAAUUCAAGGAGCUCUGUUGGGUUUUCUUAAAAAUAUUAUACAUAUAUAUUAGACAGACAGACAGAUAAACGCUCACCUCCAAGACUUUUUCAGGGCUGCACCUCUUCUGUGGAACUCCCUUCCCUUCUCCGUAAGAAUUUCACCCAGUCUCCACUCAUUCAAAAAAAUCAUUGAAAAAUCACUUCUUCAAGAAAGCAUACCAAUUAAACUGUUAGCAGGUUUUCAUCCCCCACCCUCCAUGACUCCUCUCCUGCAACUGUCAAAAAUUACCUUCUAAGCCCUCAAUGAAUACUUUUCUAACAACCUACUUCGUACCCCUACUUUUACCCUCUGUGUCAUUAUACCCCACUCCCUCUAGAAUAUAAGCUCAUUGAGCAGGGCCCUUCCCCUUUCUGUUCCUGUACAUCCAGUGACAAUUGCAUGUAUGUUAGUCCACCCAUUGUACAGUGCUACAGAAUUUGAUGGCACUAUAUAAAUAAUAAAAUAAUAAUAUUAAAAUAGAAGAAAAAUACGAAGAGAGCGCAUAUAAUAGAAACCUGUGUCUUUACUAAUUUACUGCCUAACUAGACAACCUCUCCUUCAUAUUGGAAAUAGAGAUUAGCAAAAUACUAAACUUGAACCCAAGGUACAACCAAAUUUCAGGAGCUGUAACAAAACAAAGAAUUUUCCCAAUUCUAUACUUUAGAUGCUAAAUAAUAUUGUCAGCGCUUAGAAGAUAGUCCCCUUAAAAUGUAUCAAGGGUACACACAAUAUAACAGUGUAAAUCUUACAAAAAUUUCCAAAGUCUAUUCCAUUCACAUAUAAGUUCCUUUGGGGGAAAGUCCAAAUAAUUACUGUUGCAGUUGAGGACCCAAUAGUAUACUGGAAAUUCCUUAAGGCAAAGAGAGACAAAAUAUAGUGUAACUCUAAAACAUUUAUUGCCCCAGUACAAAAAUUCCCCCCCAAAAUAGGAACUCUUACAAAAUUAAAAUGUGGUACUUAUCACUAAGGACCAUGAAAAUGGCUCUUAUAGCUGCUUGUUCUAUUCAGGUCCCCAGAGGAAUGCCCAGUUCUCCAGAGGAGACAGCGUCUGCGUAGUGCACAAAGGCAGGCUGUCAGAAGAUUUUCGAGUGGAAGAACGCUUGGAGUAAAUCGGGCUAUUUCCUGGAACUUGGUCAACAAAUGUGUGCAGCAGAGCUCAGCCACUAGCACCUUUCAACGCGUUUCGCCCUUCUCCUAAGGGCUUUUUCGAGAUAGGUGCUGUGACCGUUGCUUUGCGGUUUUAUACUUUACCAGGCAAACAGAUUACAUUUUUUUAAAGGUGUAUACACUUUAAAAACAACAAUAACCUAAAAUAGUUUUGACUGUACUGCUAGCAAUACAUUUCAACUGGUAUACAGAAUCACGUUUAGACCUACUGUACAAUACCAUUAUCACAUUUAUAUCACCGUAAACACAAAGUUUCAAAAAUGUUAACCAUAAAAAUACAUAUAAAGUGCAUUUUGUUGACAAUACAAUAUAACAUACCUGUAGACCGUUAUACCCAAUGUUUUGUAGACUUCUUGUAUUGUAACCUUAAUGUUUACAAUAUUUUUCCUUUAAGGGCUGUCCUUAUCACUGCUAUCAGUGCUCGAUUAUUAUUGUGGACACUCCUAAUCUCUUACUUGGAAAUCUUGAUAUAUUCAAUGUUUUUUGCCUCAAAGUUUAUCUGACUCUUUUUUUUCUUUCUCUAAACAAACCAGGUUAUCUUCCUAAUUGUUUUAGCCGGCAUAACGUUACUGUAUGAAACAAACUUAUCUUUCAUUGUAUUUAAUGUCAAAUUGUUCCCAUUGAUACUUUGUAUAAAAGUAUGAGUACAAUUAAUUUUCAAGAAUCUAGCAGAUGGUGGAAACUGUUUAAUCUUCCACUUUUCAUUUAACGCUUUCGCACAGCGCUCAUGCCUCUAGUAGUUUUCUGAGCGGUAUCAAAGAUAGCCAUUGCGGCAUACAAACUAAACAGUGAUUUUCCUACAUCCAUGUAGUUUAAUUGUAACGAUAGUUCAUGUUCCCUCCCAAGGGAAUUUAUCUUGUCUAUUGAAUAUAGUUGAGUUCUAAUAUAGGGUUAAUAAAAUUCACUGUGGGCUAGAUAGAUUGAUUAUAUUCAUUCUUGAAGGAUGACCCCCACCUUUGAGAAUUAAUUGUCAGCUUCCAAAUAUUGAUAGAUGUAGAUGUUCCCUCUCCUAUUUCAUUAUAGGAAAUACCAGAGAGAAAUUAAGAAAAAAGAAAAAUACUAAAAAAGAAAGGAAUAACAGUAUCAAAAACAAGAAAGCCUGUUCUUACAGCAAGAGCUCACUUACAGGUACUUCACCUAUCACUCCCACUACCCUUAACCCUGCAAGUGUGAUUAUUGCAGUUUUCAUAAACUGCAAUAUUUACCUUGAAGGGUUAAGUCCUCCUCUAGUGGCUGUCUACACAAGUGGCUGUUAUAACGUCGCUGGACGUCCUCACGCUAUGUGAGGACCUCCUGCGUCGCUGAAAUCCCCAUAGGAAAGCAUUGAAAGCCCCCAGUGAUUACAUCACAGAGCUGGGAGAAAGUGACUGCACAUCACUCCUCCCAGCUAACACACAGACCGCGCGGGAGGAAGCAGAGGGAGUCAGAGUGAGAACUCUGACUCCCAUCCACCUGAGCCACCACUGGACCCCAUGGAAUGUCACCCUCCUGCACCUAAAAGGUAGGAAACAGGAGGGUGACUAAAAUAUUUUGUGUGUGUUUGUGCAUGUGUCUUUGUAUGUAUGGCUUGUGUGUGUAUCUUUGUAUGUCUUGUGUGUGUCUGUCUGUAUGUGUAUGUAUGUGUCUUUGUAUGUGUGUCUUGUGUGUGUGUGUGUGUCUGUAUAUAUGUCUUGUGUGUGUGUGUGUCUGUAUAUAUGUGUGUCUUGUCUUUGUAUGUAUGUGUUGUGUAUAUGUCUUUGUGUGUAUGUGUGUCUUAUGUAUGUGUCUUUGUAUGUGUGUCUAUGUAUGUUGUGUGUGUGCGUGUCUGUGUGUCUGUAUGUAUGUGUGCCUGUCUGUUUGUAUGUAUGUGUCUUGUAUGUGUGUGUGUGUGUGUGUGUCUGUAUGUAUGUGUGCCUGUCUGUUUGUAUGUAUGUGUCUUGUGUGUCUUGUGUGUGUGUGUGUGUGUGUGUGUGUCUGUAUGUGUGUCUGUGUUUUUGUGUGUGUGUCUGUAUGUGUGUGUCUUGUGUGUGUGUGUUUGUAUGUCUUGUGUGUGUCUGUCUGCAUGUGUGUGUACGUGUCUUUGUAUGUAUGUCUUGUGUGUGUGUGUUUGUCUGUAUAUAUGUGUAUGUAUGUGUUGUGUGUGUAUGUCAUUGUAUGUAUGUGUCUUAUGUAUGUGUCUUUGUAUGUGUGUCUUGUGUAUGUAUGUGUGUAUGUGUCUAUGUAUGUCGUGUGUAUCUGUGUGUGUGUGUGUGCAUGACUGUGUGAGUGUGUCUGUAUGUAUGUGUGCCUGUCUGUUUGUAUGUAUGUGUCUUGUGUAUGUGUCUGUCUGUAUUUGUGCGUGUGUGUCUGUAUGUAUGUGUGCCUGUCUGUUUGUAUGUAUGUGUCUUGUGUGUCUUGUGUGUGUCUGUAUGUGUGCCUGUCUGUAUGUAUGUAUGUAUGUAUGUGUGCCUGUCUGUGUGUCUGUAUGUAUGUGUCUUUGUAAAUGUAUCUGUAUGUGUCUUUGUAUGUGUGUCUUGUGUGUGUGUGUCUGUAUGUGUGUGUCUUGUGUGUGUGUGUCUGUAUGUGUGCCUGUCUGUGUGUCUGUAUGUAUGUGUGCCUGUCUGUUUGUAUGUCUCUAUGUAUGCAUGUGUGCUUGUCUGUUAUAGCGGGCUAUGGUAAGUGGGCUACCUUGCUCAGCCUUCCUACUGGGCAUUGCUAUGAGGAAGGUUAAAAAAUAGAAAAAAAGGGGGAAAAAGUGGGGAGGGGAAUUGAGGAGGGAGAGGAGAUGAGCUGAUGCACAGAUGAGAAAUCAUUUUAGUUGUCUGAAUAUCACCGAAAUAGGAGACCUUUGUUUGUUCAUUAUGAAAAUCAAACCAGAUCAAAUAUUUAGUCUUGCAGCAUCAACCUCAAGGAUCUCAUUAAUCACUAGUAAAGGUAUUUUCAAUUUACUUUGUUUUCUCAUUAAACUUUAUAAAGUUAAAAACAUUAUAAACAUGCAUUAAGUAAAAUAAAAAGAUAAAUAUACGUACAUUUAUUUUUUUUAAAACACCCUCCUUUCUACAAAAUAUUCUUCACUUGCGCGAAAACUGGUGGGCGGUAAGGAAAUUUUUUCAUCAAGAAAGAUGCAUUAGUGCAGUGUUUCCCAACCCAGUCCUCAAGGCACACCUACCAUUCCAGGAUUUAGGGAUUACCCAGUUGUGUCUUAGGUGUUUUUUCUAAGGUGUUUUUUUUUCUUCUUUGUAAAAACACCUUAGACACAACUGGGUAAUCCCUAAAUCCUGGACUGGUAGGUGUGCCUUGAGGACUGGGUUGGGAAACACUGCAUUAGUGAGUGGCAGGUAGAAAAAGGUUGACUACCACUGAUCUAAUUACUAAAACUGCUUCAUUAAACUAAAGUUGUUUAGGUGACUAUAGUGCUCCUUUAAAACAAAUCUACAUAAGCAUUCAUUGUAUGUAAUAUAAUUGCAAUUGGUUAAUUAAUAAAAAAAAGUUAUUGACUCCUCAAACCCUAGUCUGAAUUUUGGCCCACCCUGUACAUUCUAUGUCUGAAAUUAAAUAUAUACUUAACUAUAGUUUAUACAAAUAAACCUCUAUUUUGGUGGUCUUUUUUGGGGGGAAAGAAGUUUGACAUAAAAUCUGUAAAUUCUAGAAACUAGAGUAACCAUUUUUUAUUAAACAUUACAUUUAUUUUUGUGUGAAGCUUCAGCAGGUGCAUGGUUAAUAAAUACAAGUAAAUAUAUGUAUUGAUUUUGCAGCUGUAUAUUCUCAACAUCAGUCAUUAGAAAUGGUUUAUUUGAAGUGCAAUUUUUAUUUACAGAAAAUGUCCAAAAUGAAAUAGAUAAUGUGAUUGGAUCUUCUCAGCCUCAAACAGAACACAGAAAGGACAUGCCAUAUACAGAUGCUGUCAUUCAUGAAAUUCAGAGGUUUGGUAACAUUGUACCUAACAACCUUCCACAUGCAACUACUUGUGAUGUCACAUUUAGAGGCUAUUGUAUUCCUAAGGUGAGUGAGUACCUUGCAUUAUAUCUAUUUUUAUAUGUUGUGUUUGUGUCAUGUAGUCCUUGCUUUAUUAUAUUAACUAUAAAUACAUAUAAAUAAAACCUUUCACUGUUAUUUAAUAUCAUUGACAUCUUACAUAGUUCUUUUGUCCAAAAGAAAAUAAAUUUGGAGAGCUAUGCAAUUACAAUAAAAGCCUGUAGCUGCUCACUGUAAAAAACAAAAACAAAGAAAAAACCUAUUGCCCCCACCCCUGUGCCAUGGGUGGGGGCCAUAAAGAUAAUGAGGGGGAAACCUACUUCACCACCCCCCCCCCGUUCCCCACCCCUGCACGGUGGGUGGGGGUCAUAAAUUACAAUGGGGAAAGACCUACUGUCCUCCCCCACCGGCCCCCACCCCUGGGUGGUGGGUGGGGGCCAUAAAGAUAAUGAGGGGGGCAACCUACUGUCCUCCCCCCAGCCUCUAGGCGGCGGGUGGGGGCCAAAAAGAUAGUGCGGGGGACCCACUGUCCUCCCCCCACUGGCCCCCACCCCUUGGGGGUCGGGUGGGGGCCAUAAAGAUAAUGAGGGGGGGCACCUACUGUCCCACGCUGUGUAAAAUGACUUCCCCACGCUGUGUAAAAUGACAAAAAUCAAGCCACUCAAUCAGAGUGCUCUGUGUCUUUGGAAUUUUCUCACGCUGUGUAAAAUGACAAAGAGCACUCUGAUUGGCUUAAACCAACCAAUCAGAGUGUUCUUAGCCAAAUUGCAGGGCAGGGCAAGGCUUUAUAAGCCUUGCCCCGCCCUGUAGAGCUCAGUCUGCGUGGAGCCCUCCAUGGGUGAAGAAGGAUUUUUUAUUUAGGGGUUUUUUUUAGGGCUAGGGUUUUUUAUUUUAUUUUAAGUUCGACGGGUAUGAUGGUUUUUUUAUUUGGCCUUUUUUGGGGAUGAAAAAAAGACGUCAGAUGGUCAGUUUAAUUUUUCUUUACAGGUUAGUUAUUUUAUUCCCCGCUCACUAUUUUUUAGGGUGGGGGGUUAGGUAGGGUGGGGGGUAGGGGCCAAUUGUAAUUUAUGGGCUUUGGGUGGUGGGUGGGGCCCAUUGUAAUUUAUGGCCCCCACCCACUGCUCAUGGGUGGGGGCCGGGGGGGAGCACAAUAGGUCCCCCCCUUAUUGUUAUUUAGGGUCCGGAUAGUACAGGCUGCUCACUGUUUAGUAGACAUGCCCCUACUCACAGUAUAGCGAGUAGGGGCAUUCGGGAGAUUAUAAUCUCCCUUAUGCUAUUAUUGGGGUCAUAUUGACCCCCAUAGAGUGAGGGAGGACAUGGGGGGGGCUUAGGAAGUGACGGGGAGCACUGCUCCCUGACGCUUCUAUUGUUACAUAUUACAAGGAGGGAGAAGCGAGCCGGUAGCUCCCUCCUUGUAAUAAACGGAAUGAGCAAACGAACACUGAUUUUCAGUGUUUGUUUGUUCAUCUAAAAAUUGUAUUUAUUCAUUCAUCUUUCUGACGAAUGAAUGAAUAGAUGAAAUUCCCGUUCGCAUGCCCAAGUGUUUCACUGGGCAUGUGCAGGAAUCUCAGUGCUAUCUAGUGUGGGCAGAUGAUGUGUCCCACAGGGACUUUAUCUACCCACAUAAAGAUGGCGGCGCCCUGAAUAUAGAUCAGGGCAGAAAAUAAAGAUUAAAAAUAGGUAAUAUGAGAGGCUUAGGGACAUUUGGGGGUGACUAAGGGGUCAAUUAGAUGUAGUGGAGUCAGGAGGGGGGUUAAAAAAAAAACGGGAUUCGGCCAUGACAGUGCCGCUUUAAAGUGUUCUAAAAAUUCCAACAAGCUACAUACAUGUAUUCCUUACACAUGGGGUCCUAGCCAACUACAAGCUAAUACUGAUAGAAAUCCACUAUUAAGUGUUAUUUUCAUAGGCAUCUUGAUGGGCAUAUCAGAUCCAACUAUUUCUCCCUUCUCUCUUACUGGCAGGAGUUUAUUUCUGUUUGAUGUAUGGUAUAUAGUGCUUAAUCUACUUAUAGAUUGUUGUUUUUUUGUUCUGACAAUUGGUUUCAUAAUGCUAAUAUUAUGCUCAAAAUUCUUAUGAUUCAUAGCUUACUCAAACGCUAAUCCUUUCUUUUUUGUACUAACUGGUCAUUACAAUAUGUGCUUGAAUUAAUUUAGGUGUUCUGAAACGUGCCUUAAAUCACUAAAAAUAAAUAAAAUAAAAUAUCCCAGCUAGACACAUCUCUGAAAUUGAUUUUUUUAAUGUUUUGUUUGUGAUAAAACUUGUAGUUCUUUUUAUUUUCAAAUGUCUGCAAGUUUCUCAUAUAGUCAAUAAAUCAUAUUGUUUUGCAAAAAUUCUAGUAAGAGACAUGGGAGGCCACAGGAAUUUUUUCAGGGGGGAGGGAGCGUGGGGGUGCAUAAUUGUAAUGACAUCCAUGCUUUGCCCCUUUUUGACAGGAAAAUCACAAAAAGUCAUAAUCACAUAAAGCCAGAAUGAAUAGCGUUUUCACAACUUUGGUGUCAGGAAUAUAUGCUAUGAAAAAAUGCUAUGAUGCCAGGAGGCCCCUGGACGCUAGCUUUCAUUUAAGGCAUUAAACCACUCUCAAAUGGUUUAACCCCAAAGGCUUCCUCCAGGUCACUCAGGGGUAUUCAGCUUCUGAAACGGAGUGUCGGGAAUUCAGAUUGACGUCAGGCAUGGGUUCCGCUGAUUGACUAGAGUGGUCAGCUGAUACUCUAAGCCAAUCACUAGUUCCUGAUUCAUAAAAAUGUUAUACUUUUUUAUAAAUGGGGAGCUACUGAUUGACUUAGAGUGCCAGCUGACCCCUCUAGACAAUCAGCGGCACCCCUAACCAGCAGCACUCUGUGGUUCCUGAUAUGGAGUAAAUAAAAGUGAACACAUUAACACUGAUAUUUUUUUUUUGCCUGGGGAGAUGAGAAGGUCCAACAUUUCCCAGCCAGGCCAAGGCACCAAAGCCUUACGAUGUGUUGUACAGAAUUAAGUGGAGGGAUCACUUCACUUGUCCUUCCUGCUCCAAUCUACUUUUCGUCUUUUCUUCAUUUUAUACAGUCUUCUUUUUCUUCUGACACUGUUUUCUCUCCUCCUUGUCUCCUUCUGCUCCUUUAACUUUCUGCUACUUUGGUGCUCUUCUGCUCCUUUCUCUUUCUGAUCCCUCUCUGAUCCUUACAGACCCUUUCUGCUCCUUCUCCUACUUGACCUUUGUGCUCAAUCUUCCCCUUCCAGCUCCUUGAUGUCCCUUUCUGCUCCUUGCUGUCUCUUUCUGCUCCUUGCUGUCCCUUUCAGCUCCUUGCUGUCUCUUCCUGUUCCUUUGUUCUCCUUCUCCUACUUUACCUUUGUGCUUCUUUUGAGUCUUUCUGUUCCUUCACCUUUGUGCUCCUUCUGUCCCUUUCUGCUCCUGCUGCCCCUUUUCACUCCUUGCAGACCCUUUCUGCUCCUUCUCCUUCUUUACCUUUGUGCGUGUUCUGAUUCUUUCUGCUCCUUUAACUUUCUGCUCAUUGCAGACCCUUUCUGCUCCUUGCAGACACUUUCUGCUCAUUGCAUACCCUUCCUGCUUCUUGCUGCCCCUUCUCCUACAUUACCUUUGUGCUCCUUCUGGCCCUUCCAGCUCCUUGAUGUCCCUUUCUGCUUAUUUCUGUUCCUUCUCAUUUCUGCUCCUUCUCUUACUUUACCUUUGUGCUUCUUCUCUCCCUUCCAGCUCCUUACUGACUCUUCUCCUACUGUUCCUUCCUGCUGCUUGCUGCCCCAUUCUGCACCUUUUUCUCCUUUACCAUUGAGACCCUUCCUGCCCCUUCCUGCUCCUUGCUGCCCCUUCCUGCUUCUAGCAGACUCUUCCUGCGUGUUGCUGACCCUUCCUGCAUGUUGCUGACCCUUCCUGCUUGUUUAUGUUCCUUUCUUCUCCUUCUCCUACUUUAUCUUUGUGCUCCUUCUGCCCCUUGCAGACUCUUCCUACCCCUUGCAGACUCUUCCUGUUCCUUGCUGACCCUUCCUGCUAGUUGCUGUUCCUUUCAGCUCCUUGCUGUCUCUUCCUGUUCCUUUGUUCUCCUUCUCCUACUUUACCUUUGUGCUCCUUCUGGUCCUUCCAGCUCCUUGGUGUCCCUUUCUGAUCCUUGCUGUCCCUUUCUGAUCCUUUAUGACCCUUUCUGCUUAUUUCUGUUCCUUCUCAUUUCUGCUCCUUCUCUUACUUUACCUUUGUGCUUCUUCUCUCCCUUCCAGCUCCUUGCUGACUCUUCUCCAACUCUACCUUUGUGCUCCUUCUGUCCUUUCCUGCUCCUUGCUGCCCCGUUCUGCACCUUUUACUCCUUUACCGUUGAGACCCUUCCUGCCCCUUCCUACUCCUUGCUGCUCCUUACAGACCCUUCCUGCUGCUUGCUGACCCUUCCUGUGUGUUGCUGACCCUUCCUGUGUGUUGCUGACCCUUCUUACUCGUUGCUGACCCUUCCUGCUCAUUUAUGUUCCUUUCUGCUCCUUCUUCUACUUUACCUUUGUGCUCCUUCUGCCCCUUCAGACCCUUCCUGCUCCUUGCUGCCCCCAUCGCUCACUUACCUGAUCUGUAGGCUGUCUCUGCAGGCUGAGAGUUGAUGGCUGCACUCUGCUGGAGAGAGAAGCCGGGGUAAGAUGUAGCUUCCUAUCCCUGCCUCUCCAUACACACAGCGACACUUAGAGGCCGGCACCGGUAUUGCAGUGUAUUCUCACUCUUAAACGAAAAAUACUGGCACAAGCCAAAAAAUCCAUUACAAAAAAAAUUAUUGACUGUUUCUUCUGUUUUUUUUUACUGUUAAUUUUUUAGGGAACAGAGGUCUUCCCAAUUCUGGCAUCUGUCCUGCAAGAUAAGGCUUAUUUUGAGAGAGCAGAAGAGUUUUAUCCUCAGCAUUUUCUCGACUUAAAAGGAAAUUUUGUGAACAAUGAAGCAUUUCUCCCAUUUUCAGCUGGUAAGACCAACUUGGUAAUGGUUUUUCUUAACAUGUACAUUUGUAUAUAAUGGGAUAUAUUACUUGUAUAUAUAAACAAAUAUUUUAAGAAAUUGUGAUAUAUCUAGCCAAUCAGCAUUUUUUUUUACAAAGUGGGUAUCAACACAUAGUACAAACAUGGUACAUCACAAAUGACAAUUUGACAUUUUUAUUUUUCUGCUUUAAAUUUUCCUCUAGAAAUAAGUCACCAUUAGUUAAACAAUUUCACAGGACCUCACAUAGAAACUUACGUAUUCACUAAAUAGUUAGAAAAUGUGUUCCAGUUUUGGAGACUAAAUUCACAGUAAAAUUUGAAAGUGGCUCUCAUAGCACCACCAAACAUUGUUUAUUGAAUAAACCCUUUUGUCUUUUAUGUGAUUUUUAAAAGGGCACGUUAAGCACCAUAAGUACUGCAGCUCACCGUUGGUGCAAAAAAGAUAGAGACUCUAUCGCAAAGAUUUUGACAAGUCAUUUUAGAGUGAUUUGACAGAAAACGGGGCUCACUUACACUCAACUUCUCUCCAACCACAUUAAUAAUGCAGAAUUUACAUUUAAGCACUACCAAUAUAAAUACCAUGCAACCAGAAUCAAUAAACAAAGAGACAUGGAAAAAAUUAAGGAUAUGGAUGCAGUUGCAGACUUUUCCAAAAUGGUUGACAAAAAACGUGGGCUUCCUCCAAUAUAAGCUCUUCUCCAUAACCACUAUACUGAGUUGUAGUAGAUAUGGUACUUAUACUGCUUUCAAAAUAUUUUUUUUUUUUUAAACUUUUUCAUCCAUCACUAAAGAGACAGUCUCAUCUUAUUGUUGGCACAAUUUAAUUAUAAUAUCAACUUAAUAAAAAGGACAAUUAAAAAUUUGAAUCCUACACUUACUAUAUCUAACUAUUCUUUGUGUGUCUAUUCUAGGUCGAAGAAGCUGUGCUGGGGAAAACUUGGCUAAAAUGGAAUUGUUCCUGUUCUUUACAAGACUUAUGCAAAAAUUUACAUUCCAGUCUCCACCUGGUGUAGAAAUCGAUCUCACCCCUGCAUACGGCAUCACUUUAAGCCCUUCUGUGCAUAAGAUCUGUGCUUUGCCACGUAACUAGGGCACAUUUUUGAUGAUGACUGUUUGGAUAAAAAAAAAAAAAACAACAGAUUUCAUAAUAAUCUAAAGAAUAAUCCACAUAUAAUUAAUCUGUGUAAAUGUUUACCUCUAUUUGUAUUUUUUUUUUUUUUACUGGUAUACAGACACUGUUUAAAGAUAUAUAGCAACUGUAUUUUUGUAAUAUUAGAUUAUAAAAAUGUUAGUGCACAUCAAUUAAGUUCUUUUUUAAGUAUAAAAUUGACUCUGCAUUUUAAAAUGUAAGAAAUGCCAUGAGUUUGAAAUAUUUACCCCAUUUUAUGUUUAUGUGGACAUUGGUGGAUGCAUUUAUCUCAUGAUGUGCCACAAUGUGGAAGUGCUUCUUAUGUAAUACAAUUUUCAUCAGUUGUCCUCCUUGGACAUCUCAUAAAAUUAUCCUGAUACAAAUUAAUUUUAUUAAAAUGUCACAGAUAUUGUAGUUUCUUUACAGAAAAUUCAAAAUAUCUAGCACAAUACUGGAAAAUGAAUAACAUAUCUGAUGUAGGUCCCCUACUUAUAAAGGAGGGGUGUUUAGAGUUCAAAUAUUGGUUUAGCAAGAAGAAAUAAAGAUAUAGAGCUCAAAGCUAUUCAAUAUCCUCUUCUGUUAUAUAUCUCCUUCUUAGUCUAAUCUCUGUUACAGAAAAAUGUUGUAUUUCUCCAACCUACUUACUUCACCUUUGCAUUUUCCUCAUCCCUCCUACCUACACACACUAGACUAAAAUAUUUUUUCUAUUGGAGGUAGUUGGUUAUUAGUACAGGGCAUCUCUGGAAAAUUAAAAAGUAAAAUGUUUUGUACAGAAAAUAAGCCAGAUAAAUAGAUUUACAGACCACAAACGUCAGCUUUAAUUCUUCUCUCAAUUGCUGCCUUCUUUUCUGCUCCAAAGUAACUUUCAGGCUACUUCUGCAUUUGCCUCCAUGCCCCAUGCUGCUUUCUGCUGCCGACUCUUUUCUUCUACUUGAGCCCUAUGCCUCCUACUUCUUUUUUGCAGCACUUGCAGAAGGCCUUUUCUCACCGCCAUCAGUCACUACAGAGUGGGCAGACUAUUUCAAUGUGUAUCAGAUUGCAGUGAUCAUGUUCCCUCUACUCCAGACAAUUUAAUCUACCUGGGGCCAAGAUUCAUGUGUUUUGUCCUGCCUCAAUGGACAUGCAGAUUAUUUAGGAUGACAAAUUUCAUCCAUAGUUUCCUUUUGCCUUGCCAGGCCCCAUAAUGGAGUAUGGGUCUUUAUCCCCUGAUGGCAUCUCUGUCUACAGUUACUUGUAAAACAGUCAAUGAUUGUCAUUUAAAGUGACAUUCCUAUAGUUAAUACAAUGCUUUUGCAACUCAGUUCGGGGUAAACCUUGUCCUGUACUGAAACAAGGGUACAUCUGACAUGAGAUAUGUGUCAACCAUAAUCUAUACAAGGUCCUCUAUGUGGCAUUAACAUAUCAAAAAGUACUAUGAAUAUUAUAACUAUGUCAGUAUUAAAUAAGUCUUACAUUAUUCCUCACACCUCAUUAACAGGCAGUUUUUACCUAAAUACCCUAAAACAUAUGGUUCUCAAGCAGGAUUGAUAAAGAACAAGAGUGUCAAAACCAGGCAUGGUCCACCUUUAGAUGGCCUAAACAGUCACCAAAUCUAAUUGCAAUUGCACAGUCUUAAUUGUUUUAUGGAAAACUGGAGUGAGGUCCUUUUACACUUCUGCCAUUCUGGUACACUGUGAGAUAAAACUGAGUGCUAUCCUACCUAUAGCACAUAUCAUCACUCCCAAUAAGAGUGCUACCGCAGUGUCCCACACCAAGCCAGGCCACAAUUUCACCCCUACUGGUCUGUCAGAGUGUAAUGAUUCUUCUUCUUCACCAUAAAAUUACAUAGGGAUGUCAAUAUAUCAGCGUAAUCAAUAGCUGUAUUCUGCACAGUUAGUGAGUCUUAGGCUUGGUAACGUAGGAAAUAUUUCCUAAAAAAAAUCUGGGGUGAAAAGGUGACCACUGUGUAUAUUAGUGUAUAUAUAAAUUAAAUAUAUACUAAAUUCCAGCAAACAUAAAUAAUUUCCACUUUAAAAAAAAAAAAAAAAACAUAAAAGAACUAUGAGCCAAUAUAACUAAUAAAGCAUGCAUUAUAUUUAAUUGUUUAUUUUCUUACCUAAAGUCCACCGUGUGGUGCUCCAGAACUCCACUACUUUUGUUAGAAAGCUGUAAGCUCCUGCUCAGCAUUAGUUCUCCCCCCUAGUGGAAUGUUGCUGUAUUACUACUGACAAUAAGGGUUCUGGUGUAUUUAACCCCUUAAGGACCAAACUUCUGGAAUAAAAGGGAAUCAUGACAUGUCACACAUGUCAUGUGACUUUAAGGGGUUAAAAUGUAUUGCACAAUUGUUACAUGUCUUGAUGUAAAUGUGUGGC